GAUGAAGAACGUAGCGAAAUGCGAUAAGUAAUGUGAAUUGCAGAAUUCAGUGAAUCAUCGAAUCUUUGAACGCACAUUGCGCCCCCUGGUAUUCCGGGGGGCAUGCCUGUCCGAGCGUCAUUGCUGCCCUCAAGCCCGGCUUGUGUGUUGGGUCUCGUCCCCCUUCCCGGGGGGACGGGCCCGAAAGGCAGCGGCGGCACCGUGUCCGGUCCUCGAGCGUAUGGGGCUUUGUCACCCGCUCUGUAGGCCCGGCCGGCGCUUGCCGAUCAACCAAAACUUUUUUCCAGGUUGACCUCGGAUCAGGUAGGGAUACCCGCUGAACUUAAGCAUAUCAAUAAGCGGAGGA
rnacentral:misc_RNA from 1 species